UAAACUCGCCCGGGGAGAUUGUCGGUGAGGCUCUUUUUCCUCCCGUCGACCUACGGAAGCGCGACAUUUCUGCACGCGCUCGUAAUUAGUCAUUACUCGAAUAAUCCGUCUCGCGUUAUAAUUAGCCGCUUUUUCGAGGCGAGACAGAAUCGCGUCGUGUACGGGCGAGACGAAUGCGCGGGGAAGAAUCGCAGCGAGGUGCGCAAUUAGGCAAAGGGUAUUGCGAGCGUGGUAAAAAUGAGAUCCGACUGGUGCAGCUGGCAUACACGCACAGCUCGAGGGGGAAACUCGUAAAGAGUCAUUCGAAGCACGGAAUUACGUGUCUUGAAAGAAACCGCAUGAGCGCGCGCGCGCGCGCGCCCCUCCGCGAGGUGGUAGGUACACAUAAUUGAAAAGAAAAAUUCUCCUCGCGCGAUCGACGCUCGUCAAAGUGAUAGCACGGUAUGCGAGAUGCAACAAUAUUGACAUCGCCGACGUACGUUGAAACUGCUCUCGGUAUAUCGGCGAUUACGCUGCGGAAGCUGCGCGUACCAUUAAUUUCCCAUCGCGUCGCCAAGUUUUCCCGUGAGUUAAGACCAAAAUCGAGGCGACGGCUGCUCCGUCGUGAGGGAAAAUCGCGCGCGACUUCGCACACAGGUAAAUGAAAUAUGCACGGGGAUAAAAGUGCCGGUUGUACGGCCGACGAAAGCGCAGCGAAAUUCCUCUAACAAAUCGCCAUCGCCUCCGCUGCGACUGCAACUGCGCGUUCGUUCUCCCGCGUGAGAAACUAUUCAACAUUCGAGAGGGUGUUCGUGGCCACUGCGACGCGAUCGAUCGGAUCUAGCGAGAUCGAGGAGCAGCGCCGGAAGUGCUUGGAUAUUUCGCAGCAAGUGCUCUUUUCGUUGCAUCCGCCUGGCUUGAUUUCGUGCCAUUGUUUCCCGGUGGACGGCGAUCGUGUUCACUUCAGAAGGAAGAGAGGCGCGCAACUUGUCCGAAGGAUUUCCAUGGAAUAGCCGCUCACGAUGACCACUAUGAAGUUUUUUUGCGUCGCCCUGGCGCUCUUAUGGGGUACGCACGUCCUGUGCGCGCAACCAUCGGCGUCUCCAACCGUGAAAAGCACCGGUGGCUCCAGUCUCGCUAGUGUAGUGGCUGGAAGCAAGCCGACAAGAUCCUGGGACAAGCCCCACUUCGACGAUAUUGCACCGCGAAAUGUCACUGCCAUCGUCGGCCAGACGGCGGAGCUGAAUUGUUAUGUCAAGCAUCCGGGCGACCGUGUGGUCUCCUGGAUACGUAAGAGGGAUUUGCAUAUCUUGACGUCAUCGAUCCACGUUUACACGGGAGAUGGGAGAUUUUCCGUUCUGCAUCCCGAGCCAUCCGACGAGUGGACGUUGCGGAUCGAGUACGUCCAAUCGCGGGACGCCGGGGUUUACGAAUGCCAGGUUAACACCGAGCCCAAAAUGAACUUAGCCUUCAUGUUAAAAGUCGAAGAAAGUGCCCCUGUCCCUGCCACCACCACACCGAACGCCAUUCACCGGACGUUCAACUCAGCUGCUCAGGCGAAAAUCCUGGGACCGGAAGACGUCUAUGUGAAGAAGGGUAGCACGAUAAGCCUCACGUGCACCGUUAAUGUGCAAAGUACACCACCCAGCAGCGUUUCGUGGCAUCACGGAGGAGCGGUGGUGGAUUUCGACAGUCCCAGUGUUCACCGCAGGGGCGGGGUUUCCCUGGAGACCGAGAAAACGGAAAGCGGCACAACGAGCAGACUACUGGUGACACAGGCCAGAUUGACCGACAGCGGAAAUUACACCUGCAUCCCUAGCAACGCGAACCCAGCGAGCGUAAUGGUCCACGUGCUGAAUGGCGAGCAUCCGGCGGCGAUGCAGCAUGGCGGCAGCUGCGGAGUGGCCCCGACCAUACUACUCGCUAGCAUCACCCUCGUAGUCGCGAAUCUGCUAAGGUGAGCAGCCGUCUUGUGAAUCGCGCAUCCUAAAGAGAAAAUAAAUAAGAAAAGAAAGUCAAACGUUACACCACCACGGUCGGGACGACGCUUAAAGUGCGCGCGACGACUCACUGUCGCGAAUAUCGGCACGGAACGCGCUUGAAACGAAAAUAACAAAAAAAAAAAACGGGAAAAAUUGCUCGGCCAACCGCGACAGAUCGGUUUCGCUUCCGCGUGUUGCUGUCACACGCGGUGCGUAUUCGUUUCGUCGAGUGCUCCGGAGUGACGACGAGAGAAUCACAAUGCGGACGAAGUGCAGUGGACCAAGCUGUGUGAGGGACGCAGUGACGAGGCGGACGAUCCUUAACACGAAAACCUGUGUCGCGUGCGAAACGUGUCUCGGCGUAAAACGUCGAGAUGAUAUUCGCGAUACUCUUGACACGAGUCCGAGAAAUACCGCGAAGGUAGUCGCCCGCAAAAGGAAACUCUCCCGCACUCCUGCGCUUUUUGUAUCACUAAAUCGGCGUGCUAAAUGUCGUCUCAACGAAUCGGCUUUCAACGAAUGCACUCGGGCGCACGGGGGCUCCCUUUCGCGAGGAAAACCGCUCACCUCGCGGGAGAUUCGUCGCGAGAACUAUUAGAAUCCGUUAGCUUGCAUCGACGGCUAGAGCGACACUGAGCUUUCUUCAGGCGGAAAUACCGUGCGAAUGUAUGAUCUCUCGCGAUUCCCGGCGUUAUCGAAUAUCGAGUAUCGAUAGCUGGAUCCGUUCGACGGGGAUUAAUUAUUACACGAAUUGAAGUUACAAUCUAACGAUCGUCGAGAGUAGUUGCGCGCUGAUUAUCAAAUAGUUGAGAUUACUGUACAUAAAGCGAGUAAUACGCGAAUGAACGUGUAGAGGGUCCGCUGUGAGACCUUGUUGUACAGUACAGUGCACGUGCGAGAAUUGUCGCGUGACCAACCAAUCGUUUUCCGUUGUUUGGUCUGGGCAAUAUUGUACAUAGCUUGUAUCAUUGAUUAUUAAUAUGUACGGCGUGAGAUUCGAGAGAUUCUCAUCUUUGCGUGUGUGCGCUUCGGCGAUCUUGAUCUUGAGCGUGUAUCGAAAUAUUUUCUGUAUAUUUCCGGAAUUUUACGCGUGUUAUAGUAGUUCUGCCCAGAUUCGACUUUGUUCGGUUGUUGGUUUAACUCGUGCAAAAUUCUAUGUGAAAAUAUAAUACGUUCUCAUCGUCGGGAGCGUUUACGGGUCGAGGUAUACGGGAUGAUUGUUAUGCGAAAGGACGAGAGGGUUACGACGACUGAGAUAGGAUAGUAGAUAGAUAUAUUCUCGAUAUAUUUCUGUUUGUUUAUUGCAAACAGUGAUUCUUGAUGCUGAAUGACUCGCUAGAGCGAAAGAGCGAGAGAGAGGGAGAGAGAGAUGUGUCUUGCUUUGUCAUUCGAUAACCAAAAUGCAAUUUUUACACGAAAUCAAAUGUUUCUCCUCCAAACACAUCGUUUCACUGCCAGAAAUUCGUUCGAAUUCUAUCAGUCGGGUAAUUUCUUUUCAAAGAUCAAAACGCGUCGGAAUAAACUCUUUGGUCACAAUCAAGGUGUAAUCAAACCGACAUCAACGAUUACGGACAACGGACGUUAGGUUAAAGUGUAUUAAAGAUGGAAUUCGUGUAUAGAUAAGUGAGUAUGGAAAAAAUACGUACAUAUGUUUAAAUAGAUCAGUAACACACAAGCGUUCGUUACGUACUAAGAUAAUAUUACAUGUCGACAUGCGGAAAGUAUGAUUCGAAAGACCGAGGUGUAAGUAUAAAAGUUGCAAAAGAGGUUUCUUUGCAAAACCAAUUGUGUAAAGAGAAAGUCGCCUUUCUUCAUCGUGAGUUAUUUAAUUCAUUAUUUUGCAAAAUGUUGAUAAAUUGCUGUUCUCCGUGCUUAAGUUGUAUUGUAUAUUGAUUAAUUGUUUAUAACGCGAAACGCGAAUGUCAUUUUUCAUGUGUUUAAAAUUUUUUUGCGUUUUUUCUACAAAUGUCAAAAUAUUUUAGAUACCUGCAAGAGAUUUUUUUUAGAAGAAGGGGACUUACUGCGUUUUGCAAGUAAACCGAAAUAAAUGUAUAUAUAGCGUCAUGAUUCACUGUUAAAACUUGUAAUUUUAGGGCAAUAUUCAGUUUCCUCUCAAUUAAUGUUGAAUUAUAUAGCAUUUAAGCCAAUAUUCAAUUUCCUCUCAAUUAAUGUUGAAUUAUAUAGCAAUCUCUUUUGGCUUCGGUAUCAAUUCAAUCGCAAAUUCCAUAUUUUCGUCAGAUUACUUUCACGAACGGUAGAAUCGCUUAAUCAUUCAUCUCUCUGUUCAUUUUACGAGAUCGAUGAAAUGGUUGAUUAGUUUUUCCUCCGUGAUUCUUCCGAUACAAAUCUCCUUUAUCUCGAAACGAGAAAAUACGAGAGAGAAAGCAAGACCCUAGAUCUGAUCACGUAGUAAUCCAUUGCACGUAAUAUAGGGUAUAGCGAUAAAUCAUUAGAUAAUAGGUUUAUUACGACAUAUAAUGUAAUACGAAUAAAGAAAUAUAUCAUAAUGACUAACAUAUUAAGAUGCGAUUUAUCUUAGAACUCAUAGAUUUUUUAUAACGUUGUAGCUCGGAAAACACAAGUUAGGAUCUAUCUGCUGUUGGAGAUCGUCGAGCGUUUCUGGAACUUCAGACUGACGGAGUUAAAAUCGGCGGAGAAAUGUCGCGGUACCAUUGUUUCGCGUACACACUUUGUGUUAUAUCAGUAAUUUAUUGUCGAUGUAAGCGACGAGAAAAUUUGACUCGAUUACCGAAUAAUGCGUAUAUCUGGACGUAAUUGCGAAUUACACUAGCACGGAAGAGACUAAUCGAUCAAAAUGAAAAGGCCAGUCGUUUCUCUUUUUUUAUGGAUCGCGAAAUCGCCCCCAUCGAGCGAUCGGUGCGCCUAAUAGAAUCAAAAUGUUUAAUCAAAUUCGAUUCAAUCAAAAUUUAUUCAUUCGCGAUGUUUCUCGUUUCGGCAUUUUUUCGGCACGAAUUCCACCGUGAUUUUUCACAGCGAAUGUGGCUCAAUUAUAAGAUUUAAUAAUACAUUCCUGUGCGUACGAAGAAUGAUCAAACAGAAAAAUAUCGAGAGAGAAAGAGAGACAGAAGGUAUACUUAUUCGUGAAACUAGAUAAUCGAUAUCCGCGAUUCGCAUACUUACGGAAUGUUGCACAUUAAAUAGGUAAGACUAGACCGCAUUGUACAUAAAAUUCAUAAUCGAUAAUGUAUCAUGUUAUAGGGGAACUUAAGCAUGAAUCAAAAGGACAGGAUUAAAAAAAAAAAAAGAGAGCGAAAAAAGGCGAUAUAGAAUAUUAUAUUGUAAAAAUAUUCAUCGACGUGAAUACACUG